CGCUUUUGCUCAGCAAGCAUGUUUUGUUUUGUGUAAUGAUUUCAUUAGUCUAGAUCAGUGGUUCUUUUUUAUUUUACUAUAAAAUAAAUUCCUGAAAUGGAUUUAUUUCCUGAACAUUUUUUGUUUUUUUUUUUUUUGCAUUUGUUAAUUUUUUUUUUUUUUUCAGGGCUAACUAUUCCUGAACUUUCCAUGGAUAGAACACAUUAGGACUGAGUUUACUUUGGUGCUUUGAUAAUGCGGGUUGUGAUUUCCGACACUCUAACCAAAUGAAAAUAUAUAAAAGCACUGAGCCGGGAUUGUGCUUAACAGACCCCAGUUUGAGACGCACUGGUCUAGAUAAAAUGACCUGGAGCAGCAGUCAGAAAUGAGACUGGUCCUCAUUACCAUCAUGCAAAUAUUUCAGUCAAGUUUACUUAAAUGAUGCCGUGGGGCGCCUGGAGCCUAUCCCAGGAAACUCAGAACACAAGGCAGGGGACACCCUGGAUGGAUUACAGAGCACAAUCACACAUGCACUACGGACAAUUUAGAGAUGCCAAUCAACAUACAACGCAUGUCUUUGGACUGAGGGAGGAAACCGGAAUACCUGGAGGAAACCCCCAAAGCAUGGGAAGAACUUGCAAACUCUGCGCACACAAGGCGGAGGUGGGAAUCAAACCCCCAACCACGGAGAUCAGAGGUUCUUUGCCCGAAGGAAUCCCUGUCUUACACAGUUUAAAGUUUUCUCUACUGCUGACCAAUGUUCCUCCAUGUGGCUCAAUGUGGCUUUCAUAAAAUAAGAAAAGCUUGAUGCUGUUAUGAGAGUCAAGUGCAGGGGUGGGCAAUCUU
ensembl:lncRNA